AUAGAAAAUAGGUGCCCGUACCGCAAACCGACACAGGUAGUCAAGAUGAGAAUUCUAAGGUGAGCGAGCGAACUCUCGUUAAGGAACUCGGCAAAAUGACCCCGUAACUUCGGGAGAAGGGGUGCUCUUUAGGGUUAACGCCCAGAAGAGCCGCAGUGAAUAGGCCCAAGCGACUGUUUAUCAAAAACACAGGUCUCUGCUAAACCGUAAGGUGAUGUAUAGGGGCUGACGCCUGCCCGGUGCUGGAAGGUUAAGAGGAGUGGUUAGCUUCUGCGAAGCUACGAAUCGAAGCCCCAGUAAACGGCGGCCGUAACUAUAACGGUCCUAAGGUAGCGAAAUUCCUUGUCGGGUAAGUUCCGACCCGCACGAAAGGCGUAACGAUUUGGGCACUGUCUCAACGAGAGACUCGGUGAAAUCAUAGUACCUGUGAAGAUGCAGGUUACCCGCGACAGGACGGAAAGACCCCGUGGAGCUUUACUGUAGCCUGAUAUUGAAAUUCGGCACAGCUUGUACAGGAUAGGUAGGAGCCUUUGAAACGUGAGCGCUAGCUUACGUGGAGGCGCUGGUGGGAUACUACCCUAGCUGUGUUGGCUUUCUAACCCGCACCACUUA
rnacentral:rRNA from 1 species